UUUUUGCGUUAGUGAUUGAAGCGGCAUCCUUUUUUUCUUUUUCAGAAAAAAAGAUAUAGUGGAAAGCUCGGUUAAUC
rnacentral:sRNA from 1 species